AACGAACGCUGGCGGCAGGCCUAAAACAUGCAAGUCGAGCGGGCAUAGCAAUAUGUCAGCGGCGGACGGGUGAAUAACACGUGGGAACAUGCCCUUUGGUACGGAACAACUCAGGGAAACUUGAGCUAAUACCGUAUGUGCCGGUAACGGGAAAGAUUUAUCGCCAAGGGAUUGGCCCGCGUCCGAUUAGCUAGUUGGUGAGGUAACGGCUCACCAAGGCGACGAUCGGUAGCUGGUUUGAGAGAACGAUCAGCCACACUGGGACUGAGACACGGCCCAGACUCCUACGGGAGGCAGCAGUUGGGAAUCUUGGACAAUGGGGGAAACCCUGAUCCAGCCAUGCCGCGUGAGCGAUGAAGGCC
rnacentral:rRNA from 1 species